rnacentral:rRNA from 1 species
AUUGAACGCUGGCGGCAUGCUUUACACAUGCAAGUCGAACAGUAACAGGCCGCAAGGUGCUGACGAGUGGCGAACGGGUGAGUAAUGCAUCGGAACGUGCCCAGGCGUGGGGGAUAACUACUCGAAAGAGUAGCUAAUACCGCAUACGAUCUAUGGAUGAAAGCGGGGGACCGUAAGGCCUCGCGCGAUUGGAGCGGCCGAUGUCAGAUUAGGUAGUUGGUGGGGUAAAGGCUCACCAAGCCAACGAUCUGUAGCUGGUCUGAGAGGACGACCAGCCACGCUGGGACUGAGACACGGCCCAGACUCCUACGGGAGGCAGCAGUGGGGAAUUUUGGACAAUGGGCGCAAGCCUGAUCCAGCAAUGCCGCGUGCAGGAAGAAGGCCUUCGGGUUGUAAACUGCUUUUGUACGGAACGAAACGGCUCUGGUUAAUACCCGGGGCUAAUGACGGUACCGUAAGAAUAAGCACCGGCUAACUAUGUG